rnacentral:tRNA from 1 species
UCCCUGGUGAUUCAGACAGUAAAGAAUCUGUCUGCAGUGCAGGAGACCCCAGUUCGAAUCCUGGGUCAGGGAA